rnacentral:rRNA from 1 species
GACAGAGGUGCCGAGCGUUAGGCGGAAUCACUGGGCUUAAAGCGUGUGUAGGCGGCGGCGUAAGUACCUUGUGAAAUCCCACGCUCAACCGUGGAACUGCUCGGUAUACUGCGUCGCUUGAGCCAGCUAGGGGCGACCGGAACAAACGGUGGAGCGGUGAAAUGCGUAGAGAUCCGGAAGAACACCCGUGGCGAAGGCGGCACUCUGGGACGGUACUGACGCUGAGACGCGAAAGCGUGGGGAGCGAACAGG